rnacentral:rRNA from 1 species
GUGGGGAAUCUUGCGCAAUGGGGGAAACCCUGACGCAGCGACGCCGCGUGGAGGAUGAAGGCUUUCGGGUUGUAAACUCCUUUUGUAGGGGAAAAUAAUGAUGGUACCCUACGAAUAAGCCACGGCUAACUCUGUGCCAGCAGCCGCGGUAAGACAGAGGUGGCGAGCGUUGUUCGGAAUUACUGGGCUUAAAGGGCGAGUAGGCGGCGGGACAAGUCUGGUGUGGAAUCUUAGGGCUUAACCCUAAAACUGCAUCAGAAACUGUUUUGCUUGAGUCAGUGAGGGGAGGGCGGAAUUCCUGGUGUAGCGGUGAAAUGCGUAGAUAUCAGGAGGAAGGCCGGUGGCGAAGGCGGCCCUCUGGCACUGUACUGACGCUGAGGCGCGAAAGCGUGGGGAGCAAACAGGAUUAGAUACCCCAGUAGUCC